rnacentral:rRNA from 1 species
CCUACGGGAGGCAGCAGUGAGGAAUAUUGGUCAAUGGACGAGAGUCUGAACCAGCCAAGUAGCGUGAAGGAUGACUGCCCUAUGGGUUGUAAACUUCUUUUAUAUGGGAAUAAAAUGUUCCACGUGUGGGAUUUUGUAUGUACCAUAUGAAUAAGGAUCGGCUAACUCCGUGCCAGCAGCCGCGGUAAUACGGAGGAUCCGAGCGUUAUCCGGAUUUAUUGGGUUUAAAGGGAGCGUAGGUGGAUUGUUAAGUCAGUUGUGAAAGUUUGCGGCUCAACCGUAAAAUUGCAGUUGAAACUGGCAGUCUUGAGUACAGUAGAGGUGGGCGGAAUUCGUGGUGUAGCGGUGAAAUGCUUAGAGAUCACGAAGAACUCCGAUUGCGAAGGCAGUUCACUGGACUGCAACUGACACUGAGGCUCGAAAGUGUGGGUAUCAAACAGGAUUAGAGACCCCAGUAGUC